rnacentral:rRNA from 2 species
UGGGGAAUUUUGGACAAUGGGCGAAAGCCUGAUCCAGCAAUGCCGCGUGCAGGAUGAAGGCCUUCGGGUUGUAAACUGCUUUUGUACGGAACGAAAAGCUUCGGGCUAAUACCCUGGAGCCAUGACGGUACCGUAAGAAUAAGCACCGGCUAACUACGUGCCAGCAGCCGCGGUAAUACGUAGGGUGCAAGCGUUAAUCGGAAUUACUGGGCGUAAAGCGUGCGCAGGCGGUUUUGUAAGACAGAGGUGAAAUCCCCGGGCUCAACCUGGGAACUGCCUUUGUGACUGCAAGGCUAGAGUACGGCAGAGGGGGGUGGAAUUCCGCGUGUAGCAGUGAAAUGCGUAGAUAUGCGGAGGAACACCGAUGGCGAAGGCAACCCCCUGGGCCUGUACUGACGCUCAUGCACGAAAGCGUGGGGAGCAAACAGG